rnacentral:rRNA from 1 species
AUAUGCUUGCAGUAUAGUGUUUAUGCACCCGAUCCAAUUAGAAAUCUAUAGUUAAGCGUGCUCGGGCUAGAUUAGUACUAGGAUGGAUGAUCACAUGGGAAUUCAUAGUGUUUUACAUGCC